UACCCGUAGCUCCUAUCCAUGUUACUAGCAGAUAGAGUGAACAUGGAAGUUGGUACAGGUGUA
rfam:Caenorhabditis remanei strain PB4641 contig20.27, whole genome shotgun sequence.